CCUACGGGUGGCUGCAGUGGGGAAUAUUGGACAAUGGGGGGAACCCUGAUCCAGCCAUGCCGCGUGUGUGAAGAAGGCCCUCGGGUUGUAAAGCACUUUCAGUGAGGAAGAACGCCUGGUGGUGAAUACCCAUCAGGAAAGACAUCACUCACAGAAGAAGCACCGGCUAACUCCGUGCCAGCAGCCGCGGUAAUACGGAGGGUGCGAGCGUUAAUCGGAAUUACUGGGCGUAAAGCGCGCGUAGGUGGCUUGAUAAGCCGGUUGUGAAAGCCCCGGGCUCAACCUGGGAACGGCAUCCGGAACUGUCAAGCUAGAGUGCAGGAGAGGAAGGUAGAAUUCCCGGUGUAGCGGUGAAAUGCGUAGAGAUCGGGAGGAAUACCAGUGGCGAAGGCGGCCUUCUGGACUGACACUGACACUGAGGUGCGAAAGCGUGGGUAGCAAACAGGAUUAGAUACCCUUGUAGUC
rnacentral:rRNA from 1 species